rnacentral:rRNA from 1 species
AGGAUGAACGCUGGCGGCGUGCCUAAUACAUGCAAGUCGAGCGGUAAGGCCCCUUCGGGGGUACACGAGCGGCGGACGGCUGAGUAACGCGUAGGAACGUACCCCAAACUGAGGGAUAAGCACCAGAAAUGGUGUCUAAUACCGCAUGUGCUCUAAGGAGUAAAGCUUCGGCGGUUUGGGAACGGCCUGCGUAUGAUUAGCUUGUUGGUGAGGUAAAAGCUCACCAAGGCGACGAUCAUUAGCUGGUCUGAGAGGAUGAUCAGCCAGACUGGGACUGAGACACGGCCCAGACUCCUACGGGAGGCAGCAGUAGGGAAUUUCCACAAUGGGCGAAAGCCUGAUGGAGCAACGCCGCGUGCAGGAUGAACCCCGUUCGGGACGUAAACUGCUUUUACGAGUGAAGUAUUUUGACGUAGCUCGUGAAUAAGGAUCGGCUAACUCCGUGCCAGCAGCCGAC